UGGUGAUUUCCCAUGGCUCGUACCAAGCAGACAGCGCGAAAGUCCACCGGCGGCAAGGCGCCACGGAAGCAGCUGGCCACCAAGGCCGCUCGUAAGAGCGCCCCGGCCACCGGCGGCGUCAAGAAGCCUCACCGCUACCGGCCCGGCACCGUGGCGCUGCGCGAGAUCCGCCGCUACCAGAAGUCCACCGAGCUGCUGAUCCGCAAGCUGCCCUUCCAGCGCCUGGUGCGCGAGAUCGCGCAGGACUUCAAGACCGACCUGCGCUUCCAGAGCUCGGCCGUCAUGGCUCUGCAGGAGGCCUGCGAGGCCUACCUGGUGGGGCUGUUCGAGGACACCAACCUGUGCGCCAUCCACGCCAAGCGCGUCACUAUCAUGCCCAAGGACAUUCAGCUGGCCCGCCGCAUCCGCGGGGAAAGGGCGUGAGCUCAAGACUCCCUAGCCACCUUCCCAAAGGCUCUUUUCAGAGCCACCAAAGUCCUCAGUGAUAGUGCUGCUCCACAUUGAGUUAGGCUUGGUCUUUUCUUUUCCUCGUGGCUCACGUGAGAAGAUCCUCGGCACCACAAGGUAUUUUUCGUUACUCAAAUCGGUGAACCUUGAUCGGAAGGGCGUCAGGUUGCGGGAACUUGAAAGAGUUAAUUUUACAUUGGCUCUGGAGCCAGGCCGUGUAGUACAGUAGGCAACUGUGGGAAGUGGACUUGUUGUUUGGGGAGCUAUUGGAGAUUGAGCUGAGUCACAUCCCCAGCCAUCACUAAGUUGCUUAGGGUCUCGCUGAAAUGCUGAGGCUAGCCCUGAACUAGGCUAGUCCUCGGCCGCAGCUUCAGGAGUCGAUGGAAUUACAGGCGUGCACUACCGCGCUCCGCUGAGGAGUCCUUUCAAAGGAUGAUUGCUUCCUCCACUAAGGUAGAGUUUGCCAAUAGGUCAUCUUGCGGGUUGUGAAUGCUACAUAGUUGGGUGGCGGACAACUAUCCCUACAGGUUCCCAGGAGGUGAAAUUGUUAUGUUAAGGGAUGGCACCUUUCAGGAAACAGGCACCCCAAAAUGUCCUACCCAUCCCACCCGGAUUCAUGAGCUCAAGUGAGGAAGUUUUACGUCCGUACCUCAGUAACAGGCACGAGACUAUUAGAAUGGCAAAGGAGAAAAGAGAACACACAGAGUGGUCCUUAUAGAGAGGAGAGGGACGGGGUGCGCUCCAGUUUUAUUGGGAAUUCCCAGAGGUUUCCACAAGUCCCCAUCUUUACUUGGGAUUGACAGCCUGGGAGCUGCAUGGACCUUCUCCAAGAUAGGAUGGUGUGAUGUUCAGAAUUGGAAUUUUUAAGAAAAUUGAGAACCCCUGUCAGUUUCCUGCCCCUUCAAUCAGUUUAUUACCUACCCUUUGGACAGCUACCAUCAAGCUUUCUGUGUGAGGGUCCUGAUGUUCUGGUUGCCAGGGUGAUGGGGGUUUGUGACAGGUUUCUGUGAUAAGGGAGGGUACAGGCUACCGGGGAGGCUGUGACUUUGUUGUAGGGACAAAUGCACCAAAGAUAGCAGGAAACAGUUUUAUUUGGCUGCAGCCAGGUUCAGAGGGUAUAGCCUUUGCUGUAAUCAAUCAAUCCCCUGAACCCCAAGUUCAGGGAGUUUUAGGAUUUUAUACCCAGCGUGUAAGGGGAGGGGCUCAGAAGUUCACAUAAAAGCAGCUUUUUCUUUCACUGUUGUGGGCAAGUUAACCCUUCAAGGACAACACCUGAGAAGGGGGGAGCUUCUUCUCCCCUCUUCCCUCCCCCUGCCAGCUGUUACCAUGGAGCCCAAUUGUAACUUAUCUUAAAAAUGUAGACAUCUCUGUGAAGCCCAGCUCAAGGCCAGAGGCCUUGUUUGCACAUUUCUUCAAAAGUUUGUGAAAAACUAGUAAGGGGGUGUCCAGCACCUGGAGUGCUGGUAUCUUCUCGGCCAGUGGCCUAGUAAACAGGGUGACAUGAAAAUAGGAAGUUUAUCUACAUUGGACUCUUGCAGAGACUCUUUUGUUGACAGUCCCCAAAUCAGCCAUGGUGAAGAGGGCUUUUCUGUGGAGAAACGGGGUGCCACUUCAACUUGCUCUUGAAACUAGCUUUUUUUGUUUGUUCAUUUGGUACUGGGGAUUGAACCCAGGGGCACUUUAGCACUGAGCUACAGCCCUUUUUUAGUUUACAGUUUGAGACAGGGUGUCACUAAGUUGCUUAGGGCUCUGAUAAUUUGCUGAGGCUGGUCUUGGGACUAGAAAUCCUCCUGCCUCAGAUGUGACUAUGGGUGAGGGAGGUUUGACAUACCAGGCCCCAUCUUCCAGGUGCGUAUCUGUCAGACGAGUCUCCCUGUGGUUUUCACUCCUUUCCUGCUCUUCCAUUCAGGGCUGAACUAGCUACCUAACAGGUGGGUCUCAUAUUCUCUUACCCAGUACUAUGAUUGUUAAAGUGUCACUCCUGACCUGAAAGAACCAAACCUGAAUUCAGCUGAGCCAGCUGAACCACUGUUACCAGAAAGAAGGACAUGGUCGUGUUCAAAUGAGCAUUCUGGUUCCCAAGAGAACUGACGUUUUGUCUGGCAGUGACUCACCUGAUAAUCUCAUAGGAUAAAGCUCUGAAAUGUACAUUCCCAUGCUAAGAUUGUGAUGUUGUAAAGUUAGCACCUUAGCCUUUGGUCUUAUUUGCAGGAGCCUAGUAGUGCAGCCAUGGGCCUGAGGGGCAAUUCAGGGGCAUUAGGCCAUCUUAACUGUAGGCCAAUCACCUGAUGCUACACUAGUGAUUUACCAGGCAGAAGCCAGAGUGGAUACCACCUGGUACAGACCUGUCUCACCUGGGGCAACUGAAAGCUUCUAAAGACUUGGACCCUUGCAUGACUGAUGUGCAUGAAGUCCUAACCCAGGAGACAAGGUGCUGCCUAACAUCUGUGAAGCUAAGUGGUAACAGUUACACUUUGCUAUUUCUUUUUUCCCCUGUAGAAGAUGCAAGUCAUAGACCAAAGAUUUGUUGUUUUUGCUCGCUGCUUUAUUUCUAGGAUGGAUUGCUAAUUUGCUAUCACUCAGGCACAGAUUGCUCCAACUCAGCCCUCCAAAGGCUUUAGGAAAACAGAAGAUUCCAUUUUGGAAAAGACAUCAAUAGCCAGGGCAGAAGGCCUGAUUUCCUUCAAUGGAAAAGACAGACACACAGGCCCAUGCAAAGGUCUUCCUGCUCUAUUUCAAGGACACUGGCUGGGAUUUUAGAGUCUUCUGAGGUCUGCUGUUUCAAAUGGAAUGCACACUUAAGUGUGAACUUAGAAAUUAUGGUUUCGUUUGAUGCUCCUUCCUUCAAAAACUGGAGCCUAAUUCUAGUCCCCUGCAUGUACCCUGAAUUUAGAGAUGAGCUUCUAAGGAAAAAAAAGUCCCACCGCUUAAAGAGGAGGUCAUGACAAGCACUGUACUUCCUACUGGCUAAAUCUAGAUGCUCUGGACCCCAGGGGCCAUGUGGAAGAACCCUCCAGCAACCCCUUGGAGAGGCCUGCCUAUUAAGAAAGUGAGGCCUUCAACAGUCAGCCAAGAACUAUAGCCAGGAAGUGAGCCAGUUCUGGCCCCUGUCACGCCUCAGAUGACUAUAGCCCCUGCAACAAGUGGACUCUGCACUUCCUGAAAUACCCCAAGCUAGACCCCACAGAGCUAAACCACUGUGUACCUCAUCUUCAGAAGGUGAGAGAGAGUAAACUUGCUGUUUUAAGCUGCUACAUUUUUUAGUAAUUUGUUUCACAGUGAGUAACUGAUGAGACAGGAGAGUCAGGAGUCAUCCUAAAGAAUCAAGUAGCCCAGGUGGGAGGAGUGCCCACAGCUUGGUCCCUGGCUACAGGGAAGUCUGGUCCACCGGACCUCUCCUUUCCUUCCCAGGAAUCUGCAGGAUUUAUUUGUGUUGCUAUCCAGAGGCUGAAAACUAGCCUAGUACACUAAGAAUUCAGGAGGAGGAGGAAAGCUGUGGCCUCUCAGGCAGAGAAGCUGUGCAGGUAAGCACCUCUGGCUAGCAGCUUUGAAGGAGAAAGAAAUCUUUAAGUUUUUCAGUUCACUUAGAAAUGAGUAAGACUCCAAGAAAUCAAUGUCCCUGUGAACAAGUAUUGACUUAUUAAACCAGUAUUCUAUUUUGUUUUAAUUUGCCAUUUCCAAGGAAACUGGCUAAGAAUUAACUCAGUUAAGAGACUGCAUGUGCAGGAAGCCUCUCUGACCUUGCCCUGUUAGUGCUAACAAUUGUUUCAUGCCCUUCUCUUUUAAGCUUUCCCACAUUUACUAUCACAUCUGACUAUUAAAGGAACAUUGUGAGGUAGGCACACAGUUAGGGUGUAGCUCAUUCAUGCAGGGAAGGGGUGGGGGGGGGGGCUUGGCACAGAAAAUGUUCUUGGUGCAGGUGGCCCAGGCAUUAUGGCUGCACCCUCCAGUUUUUGAAAAAUUUCUGUGUGUCAGAGGUACCAUCUCUAGUGGUCCUACUACUUGUUAAAUAAGCCUUUACAAAUCGUUAUUCUCCUUUUUCUACAUCCCACACAAAUUUAUACCAAUGCAGGGGAGGAGAAAUAUCUUCCUUCUAUUUAAAUUCAUAGGCCAGAGCUUCUGUAACAAAAGAUUAAUGAGAGAAAAGCAUGCAAAUGUAUUAAAUGUAAAUUUUGUAUGAACAGUCUUGUUAAGGCAAUGAGUACUACCAAAAAAAUAUAAGUCCUCAUGCCAAUCCAAUAAUGAGGACACAACUGUAAGGAAAAGAAAAAAAGAAGUCUUAUUGCUUUGCUAGCAAAGGAGAAAUACAGGGGACUUCUACCCCAGAGACUGUGAUUCUGCCUGUCAUGGGAAACAGGACUUUUAAAGAGGGGAUUCAAAGGCUACAUUCUAAGCUGUUCUUUGUCAUGGGUCAUAAUUCACAUGUAGCAUUUCUUAGACUUGGGGCCAUCCCUGAAGUCUAAAUUACUUCAUUCCUGUGGUACAUAAGCUCAAGGACAGGUAACCUGGCCUAGGAUGGGAAGAAAAGUGAUCUUGAUUCCCCAAGGUUAGGGAGGGGAAGAGGGAAAAGAGGUGAGGGAAGGGGAUAUCAGUUUUAAAAUAAGCCUCAGUGGCAGAACAGUGAAGCAUGAAAUGAACCUGUUGCAUUUGGA
rnacentral:lncRNA from 1 species